UACGAAGGGGCUAGGCGUUGCUCGGAAUUACUGGGCGUAAAGGGCGCGUAGGCGGAUAUUUAAGUUAGAGGUGAAAGCCCAGGGCUCAACCCUGGAACGGCCUUCAAGACUUCCGGUCUAGAGUUCGAGAGAGGUGGGUGGAAUUCCGAGUGUAGAGGUGAAAUUCGUAGAUAUUCGGAGGAACACCAGUGGCGAAGGCGGCCCACUGGCUCGACACUGACGCUGAGGCGCGAAAGGCGCGGGGAGCAAACAGGAUUGAGAUA
rnacentral:rRNA from 1 species